UGUAUUUUAUUUACAUAUAAAUAUUGAAACAAAUAAUAUUGUACUGUUUCAUAAUUUAAAACUCAUUAUGUUACAGUCUUUUCCAGUUGAUAAAAUUGCAAAUCAAAAACUUUUAGAUUUUACUGUGUGGAUGGCACAGGAAGAAAACAAGAGUACUUACAAGAACAUGAAACAUCUUAUUAUGAAUGUAUGCGAUCCUCAAAAAAUUAUUCUACAAAACAAGAUCGAGAAAGAGCUUUAAAAUCUAAUCUAAAGGAUCCUGCAAAAUGUUUAUUUCCUGUACUAGUCGAAGAAUAAUAGUAUCUAAAAAUAUUGAAACUGAUUGUUGUGGAGUAACAUAUUUUAAAACACAUUAUGACAUGAGGAUGAUAUAGAGUACUUACAUAUACCAAAACCAGAAGAGUUUUUUCAAAAAUUGCACUUCAGACUGUUCAGGAUAGCAUAGGAAGUGAAUUAAAAAUAAUUGAUUUACUUACAAGAAAAGAUAUCACAAACAUUAAACACCCUUGUGGCAUUGAUUUGAAAGAUGGAUAUAGGUACAAACAUGACGCAACCAGUGUUCAUUUUUGGGUCGAAUACUUACAGACUACGUCAUGUCCAAUAUUAUUUUACAAACAACAGGGCAUACUAAUGGAUAUUCAUCCUGAAUUUAACAUUUAUGAUUUUUGUCUUAUUUUCAUGAAUGCUGUGCCAAAAUGAAAUGUUAAUUAAGUUUGGUAAAUCUUUUAUCGCAAUAGAUGGAACUCAUGAACUCAUUUCUUAUGACUUUGAACUUACGACAGUAUUAGUAAAAAAUGAAUUUAGGAAUGGAUUUCGUAAUGCUUUCUUAUUUUCAAAUAGAAAAGAUACCUACUUUUAUUUACCAAGUUUUUUUUUAAAUAUAUGUGUGUGAUGGUGUUAUAUGUACAGUUGAGUGUUUUCAUAUCAGACAUAACUGACACCUUUUACAAUGCCUGCUCAAAUGUAACGGGUUCUGUUCCUAAUAGACUGUUUUAAGUGCCUGGCAUAGGGCAUGUCAAGUAAAUCUUAAUAAAAUAUCUGAUUCUGAAAAAAAUCUUAUGUAUAGAGAUAUAUUAAUGAUGUUUUAGAGAGUAUCAAUAGCUUUUUGGGUAGAAUUCUAAGUGAUGCAGGUACAUACAAUUUUAGUAAGUAUUUCCAGUAGAACUACUGCAAUAACAUCCAACAAUGUAUUGUUAUAGGAAAGGUUGUGGAAUUAAUACCAAUAUCAUAAAAUGUCCAUAAAAUUUUGGACAAAGGAGUAUCCAUCAGUUGUUAUCAGUUAAGCUUAAAACUUGGCACACAUGGAGAGCUAUACUAUAAUAUAUUAUAUUAUAUCUCAUAUCGUUAUAUAUAUCAUAAUAUAUAUUAUAGUUCCGUGUAUGCAGGCUCACUCAUUACUACAGUGAGCAAUAUGAGAUAUAACAAUAAUAUAUUAUAGUAUAGCUCUCUGUGCAUGACCAGAUUAACACAUUCAGUGACCAUCUUGAACAAACGCCACUUGGCUGGUACCACAUAUUUAAAUCAUUUAUUUAGUUACACAGUACUACUGACACAACUUAUGCGUCAUCAGUAACUUUGGUAAAACCUUCGUGACGCUACCCAUACGUCAUGGUCACCGAAAAUUUUAAAGCUUGUUGCCGAAGGGGGGCUAUACUAAAAUAUAUAUUAUAUUUCGUAUAUUACCUUAUGUAUCCAUAAUAAUUAUAUUUAUAUUAUGGAGCCUGAAGACCAAAACAAACAUUUUCAAUUGGGUGGUUAAUGUGUUACAUAUGUAAUGUCAUGAUUUAUGUAUUUUUAGCACUAACACAUUUGUAGGUAGCAAAUCAUAUUUGUUAAUAUUAUCUAAUUUUAAUUGUUUAUUUUGAAAUAAAUCUUUUAAUCAAAAAAGUGUUGUUUAGUUGUGUACACCCAGCAAAUAUCCUGAUGUAAUGCAGACGCCAAUUGAAUAUGAUGCCAUAAAGAUGUCUUUCUAUGGUUAAAAUUUCACAGCCUAAAGAUGUCAUUUAUAUAACUUCCUAGGACGUCACAAAAUGCCCGCAAUAAGAAAAUAGAAUUAAUAACUCGCCUCGCUCCCAGGUAAAGUAAAGGUGCUGCGCCACUAAGAAUGUUUUUUUUUCAAUUUUUUUUUAUUUUGUGGCUUUAGCGCUUAGCUAUUUAGCCAGAUACAUGAUGAGAAUUAAUAUUAAAACUAAUACAAAUUAAUACUAGUACAUAUUUUAUUAACAUUCUGAAAAUUAUAUCCACUUAAUACUAAAAUAAAAAAGUGUCCAUCUAUACUAUCCAACACAUUUUCACUUUUGAAAUCGUAAAUCUCUAUUGCCAUUAAAAAAUAAUUUGUACUGUAAACAAGUACAUAAUAUAAGUAUAUUUCUUGAGCUUCAUUUUUUUU